UAGGGAAUCUUCCGCAAUGGACGCAAGUCUGACGGAGCAACGCCGCGUGAGUGAAGAAGGAUUUCGGUUCGUAAAACUCUGUUGUUAGAGAAGAACAGCGCAUAGAGUAACUGUUAUGCGUGUGACGGUAUCUAACCAGAAAGCCACGGCUAACUACGUGCCAGCAGCCGCGGUAAUACGUAGGUGGCAAGCGUUGUCCGGAUUUAUUGGGCGUAAAGCGAGCGCAGGCGGUCAAUUAAGUCUGAUGUGAAAGCCCCCGGCUCAACCGGGGAGGGUCAUUGGAAACUGGUUGACUUGAGUGCAGAAGAGGAGAGUGGAAUUCCAUGUGUAGCGGUGAUAUGCGUAGAUAUAUGGGGGAACACCAGUGGCGAGGACGACUCUCUGGUCUGUAACUGACGCUGAGGUUCGAAAGCGUGGGUAGCAAACAGG
rnacentral:rRNA from 1 species